rnacentral:snRNA from 1 species
GUUCUUGCUUCAGCAGCACAGACACUAAAAUUGCAACAGUACAGAGAUUAGCAUGGCCCCUGCACAAGAAUGAGAUGCAAACCUGUAAAGUGUUCCAUAUGGGA